AGAGUUUGAUCAUGGCUCAGGAUGAACGCUAGCUACAGGCUUAACACAUGCAAGUCGAGGGGCAGCAUGUUGGUUGCUUGCAACCAACGAUGGCGACCGGCGCACGGGUGAGUAACGCGUACCCAACCUACCCUUGUCCAUCGGAUAACCCGUCGAAAGGCGGCCUAACACGAUAUGCGGUUCACGGCAGGCAUCUAAGGUGAACGAAAUGUGAAGGAGAAGGAUGGGGAUGCGUCUGAUUAGCUUGUUGGCGGGGUAACGGCCCACCAAGGCUACGAUCAGUAGGGGUUCUGAGAGGAAGGUCCCCCACGAUUGGAACUGAGACACGGUCCAAACUCCUACGGGAGCA
rnacentral:rRNA from 1 species